rnacentral:rRNA from 1 species
UAGGGAAUCUUCCGCAAUGGACGAAAGUCUGACGGAGCAACGCCGCGUGAGUGAUGAAGGUUUUCGGAUCGUAAAGCUCUGUUGCCAGGGAAGAACGCUCAGGAGAGUAACUGCUCCUGAGGUGACGGUACCUGAGAAGAAAGCCCCGGCUAACUACGUGCCAGCAGCCGCGGUAAUACGUAGGGGGCAAGCGUUGUCCGGAAUUAUUGGGCGUAAAGCGCGCGCAGGCGGUUCAUUAAGUCUGGUGUUUAAGGCUAGGGCUCAACCCUGGUUCGCACUGGAAACUGGUGGACUUGAGUGCAGAAGAGGAAAGUGGAAUUCCACGUGUAGCGGUGAAAUGCGUAGAGAUGUGGAGGAACACCAGUGGCGAAGGCGACUUUCUGGGCUGUAACUGACGCUGAGGCGCGAAAGCGUGGGGAGCAAACA